CCAUUCUCUUCUCCUUCAUCCACGUAGGAAAAUAGGGAUACAAGAAAGUGACACGUGUCACAUUCAAUAAAACACUGCGUUUCAUUUAUCUGGCUGUGCAAUGUAUAUGGGCUUUGGUUUGCGGUAAUGGAAUCCAAUCCAAAUAAGUGAAAACGCGUUGGUUCUGAUUUUAGGGUUGAAACCCGUUUUCAUCUUCGCCAUUCCAGAGCUACUCUUGAAGAUCGAACCCAACAAUGGAGUUUUUGAAUGAUGAGUAAAAGACGAAGCGUCGGGAAGGAACGAGUAAUGCUUCGUCUUUUCGUUUUCUUCAUUCAUCGACUUUAUGAAAAUUCUUAACUCCAUCAAUGCAAAUCAAGCACAAAGUCUCAUUCAAUGAUCCUUAUCUCUUCAAGACGACGUUCCUCAAUCUAUAAAAAGGCCGGCGGUGUUCUUCCAGUGUCGAGGUGCGUUUGCUCCGAUUCUAGGAUGCUCGAAACAUCAAACGCUGUGGCGAGUUAGAUGGGAUUGGAGCUACACCUCCUUGAAGGUUUUUCCGAUCUUUAAUCGUAUGAUUAUAUUCGUCAUGUUUCCCAGAUCUUCUUUGAAUCUUUUUUUUUAUUAUAUAUUUUGAGACCAUUUGUUGAUUAUGCUCUCUGUUCACAAUUUUUUAGUCAACCUUCAUGCCAACUACCGUAAAUUUCCACCGUCUCGCCGCUUUUAGGGACUGUCUCAAGGCUGGUUCAGUGUUCGCACUCUAGCUCCUCUGUUUGUUAUUUGUAGUGGCUUGGGAUUGUUAAUUCUUAAAACUGUUUUGAUUCUUAAGAUUGAAUUUUGGUAGAGGCCAAGUACUCGGGGUGCAGGAUCCUUUUUCAGUGAAGUUCGGAGCGACGGAUCUGGUUUGUUGUCUUACUCUUCUGGACACACUAGAAAGAGGAAUGAGAAAUUCCAUCUUAUUCGUUACAUUAUUCUGCACAGAAUAUGUUUUUAUUCCUCCAUGUAUGCUUCUUUAUGGAAGUGUUUAGUGUAACCAAUCUUUAAAGCUUCAUUCUACAAGAUUUGAAUAGUUUUCAUAUAUGAAAGAUUUGGUAAAGAUCCUAACAUUGUAACUUUAACGAGUGUGGAUUCACAGGUUUAAUGAGAGGGAACCAGAUGUCAGUGCAUCUCAACAAGAUGGGCCUCUGCUAGAAGUUAAAAGUGCUGGAAAAGGAAAAGACAAACCCAAAGGGCCAAGUGAUGAAGCACUAAAAAUUGUAAUCGCCAGGUUUCCAAGUGGUUGGAUUUUCCAAGUGAGCUUUUGUUUAUGUUUAGAUAAGUUUGUAAAUAUGCUAAAGUUGCAUGAUUUUAAUAUGUUUGUGUUUAUAAGCGGUGCUCUUAUAUUGUUCUAUUCUUCCAGUGUGAUAGUUGUGUAUCUUUCCAAGACACUUGAAUUCACUCUGGUUAACGUUUAAUAUUAACAUUUGUUCUUUCUCA